rnacentral:rRNA from 1 species
CCAGAGAACUUUCCAGAGAUGGAUUGGUGCCUUCGGGAACUCUGAGACAGGUGCUGCAUGGCUGUCGUCAGCUCGUGUUGUGAAAUGUUGGGUUAAGUCCCGCAACGAGCGCAACCCUUAUCCUUUGUUGCCAGCGGUCCGGCCGGGAACUCAAAGGAGACUGCCAGUGAUAAACUGGAGGAAGGUGGGGAUGACGUCAAGUCAUCAUGGCCCUUACGAGUAGGGCUACACACGUGCUACAAUGGCGCAUACAAGAGAAGCGACCUCGCGAGAGCAAGCGGACCUCAUAAAGUGCGUCGUAGUCCGGAUUGGAGUCUGCAACUCGACUCCAUGAAGUCGGAAUCGCUAGUAAUCGUGGAUCAGAAUGCCACGGUGAAUACGUUCCCGGGCCUUGUACACACCGCCCGUCACACCAUGGGAGUGGGUUGCAAAAGAAGUAGGUAGCUUAACCUUCGGGAGGGCGCUUACCACUUUGUGAUUCAUGACUGGGGUGAAGUCGUAACAAGGUAAGCGUAGAUGA